AGAGUUUGAUCCUGGCUCAGAUUGAACGCUGGCGGCAUGCCUUACACAUGCAAGUCGAACGGCAGCACGGGAGCAAUCCUGGUGGCGAGUGGCGAACGGGUGAGUAAUAUAUCGGAACGUGCCCAGUCGUGGGGGAUAACGUAGAGAAAUUUACGCUAAUACCGCAUACGAUCUAAGGAUGAAAGCGGGGGACCUUCGGGCCUCGCGCGAUUGGAGCGGCUGAUAUCAGAUUAGGUUGUUGGUGAGGUAAAAGCUCACCAAGCCGACGAUCUGUAGCUGGUUUGAGAGAACGACCAGCCACACUGGGACUGAGACACGGCCCAGACUCCUACGGGAGGCAGCAGUGGGGAAUUUUGGACAAUGGGCGAAAGCCUGAUCCAGCAAUGCCGCGUGCAGGAAGAAGGCCUUCGGGUUGUAAACUGCUUUUGUACGGAACGAAAAGGUCUGCCCUAAUACGGCGGGCCCAUGACGGUACCGUAAGAAUAAGCACCGGCUAACUACGUGCCAGCAGCCGCGGUAAUACGUAGGGUGCGAGCGUUAAUCGGAAUUACUGGGCGUAAAGCGUGCGCAGGCGGU
rnacentral:rRNA from 1 species